rnacentral:lncRNA from 1 species
UCUCGGUUCCAGUGGCCGAUUCCCAUUCCCCAUAUGUGCAAUAUUUAAGUUUGAGUGCUUUAUUUGAACAUCUCAUUUAAAUUAUUGACAUAAAGGUAUCCGGAGAUUUUUCAUUCAUAAGCCUAUCCACAAUUCCCACAACCAUCACCAUAAGCCAUCAUUUUCCACCACUAAACACCUCCUUUAAACCCCUUUUAAGCCAUUUCAAGAGUGAUUAAGGAACUGCAAGCAUGGAGGUGCAUUAGGAAUCACUUGGGAGCUCUUAUUUUCUUUAAUCUUCAUCUUAAGCUUGUGCAAAGUUAGUGUUUACAAAGAUGAUCUUGUGUUAUUACGCGCUAAUUGGAUACCCGAACUGCUAGCAUACAUACGGACGCAAACUUGUAACUAAGUGGAUCUUGGUGUAACGAAUUAUGAAGUUUCAAGUUUACUAUGAAGACGAUGUCAUCCGUAUUUUGGAGGGUUUGAUCCAUAUAUCCCGUCUUCGAACGGGACAUAGGAUGCAAAACCUCGUUAUUUCAAAAACUUUAUUUUGAACAAGUCUUGUUUGUAAAACUUAUAAACUUAUGUCGUCUUUUGCUACAAAACAACUUAUGACUUGUAUCUUUACAUUAUGGAAUGGAUGAACAUCGUGUAUGUU